GCAUACAGUAUUACCCAAAAUGACCUGGUUACAACACAAUAGCAAAGAGGAACGUUUGCAAAGAGCAAUGUCGCAUUGUCCUGCAGGUUCAGGAUGCCGCUGAUUCCCAUCAAAUU
rnacentral:lncRNA from 1 species